GCUGCUGUGGUGUAGUGGUCAACAAACUCAGGUUCAGACCUGUGAGGACGGUUCGAACCCAUCCAGCAACG